AAGGUCAAUGGGGCUGAUGUGUUCUACAACGAGACAGCGUGCUGUGAUAAUUACGAACUGAUAGCCAAUACAUGUGUAGAAUGCAACAUUGGUUUUGUUAGACCAGGCGAUCGGGACCUAGAGAAAUGCAUUCCUUGUGAGGAAGAAUUUUAUGGUCCAAAAUGUGCGUAUUCUUGCAACUGUGAGAAAAAUGAAAGAUGUAACAGAAUCACGGGAUGUUUUUUGGAACAUGUAGCAAACGAUGAACAUACAACAUUAUUUUCAAAAUCAUCCACACAGCCAGAAUAUGAUGAUAAUUCAACAACAUCAACCGACAAGAAAACUGUAACAAUUACACAUGUUACAGUUUCAACAAUUU